GACGAACGCUGGCGGCGUGCUUAACACAUGCAAGUCGAACGAUGAAGCGGGUGCUUGCACUCGUGGCUUAGUGGCGAACGGGCGAGUAACACGUGAGUAACCUGUCCUUCUCUUUGGGAUAACGGCUGGAGACGGCUGCUAAUACUGGACAUUCAGGCUGCAUCGCAUGGUGUGGUUUGGAAAGGUUUUUUCUGGGAUUGGGUGGGCUCGCGGCCUAUCAGCUUGUUGGUGGGGUGAUGGCUUACCAAGGCUUUGACGGGUAGACGGCCUGAGAGGGUGGGCGGUCGCACUGGGACUGAGCUGCGGCCCAGGCUACUACGGGGGGCGGCAGUGGGGAAUAUUGCACAAUGGCCGAAAGUUUGAUGCAGCGACGGUGAGUGAAGGGUGUGGGCCUUAGGGUUGUGAACUUCUUUUACUCGAGAAGCAGGCAAAGUUUUGGCUGUGUUGAUGGUAGUGAGGGAAGAAGCGCCGGCUAACUACGUG
rnacentral:rRNA from 1 species